UAUGAUGGUUUGGACGGUGAC
rnacentral:siRNA from 1 species